CUGCUCCAAGUGGCAACUUUUAAAGGCUGGACGGAUAUUAUGUAUGCAGCAGUGGAUUCACGUGAGAUCGAUGAACAGCCAAAGUUUGAAGCAAACUUACCCAUGUACAUAUACUUUGUGGUUUUCAUUAUUUUUGGAUCUUUCUUCAUGCUGAACCUUUUUAUUGGAGUGGUUAUCAACAAUUUUAACCAACAAAGGAAAAAGAUAAGUACUAGUUGAGCUAACUCAGGAUCUCCUCUAAUCCCAAUUUAAAUGAAUGCUGGCUUGACAUGUAGAUGUCUAACAUUUUGAAAUAACUGUUUACCUGGA